CUCUUAUGUUGAGUGGUGGAGGGACUGGCCUGAUGAAACCCAGCAACCGUUUUCGUUUAGAAAAUUGGUGCUAAUUCCUGCGAAUCUAGAAGUAGAUUCGAGAGAUAAGAG
rnacentral:ncRNA from 2 species